rnacentral:rRNA from 1 species
AUGGAUCGGUCGAAGGAGUGGUGGCAGAAGGCGGUGGUUGUGCCGGUGAGGCGCGCGUGGGUCGUCGUCGCCGCGCGCCUGCGUCGCAAGAAACAGCAUGAUGGCCGGGGCGGCGCGCUGGUGAAGCUCCACGACGACGUGCAGACGUGCGCGUACGAGGACGUGCAGGUCAUGUGGGAGAUGCUGCAGCGCUCCGAGACGGGGAAGAUGAUGGCCGGGGCGCCGCCGCCCAAGGGCUCCGCGCUGGUCUGGCUCAGCCCUCGCCGCCGCCGCCACUCCAUCGACCUCCGGCCGCGGUGCUGA